CGGAAAAGAAAAGGAAAAUGGGAGGAGCGGAAGCAAGUCCGAGCAAGUCAGAGGAUCCGCCGGCCUAUCUCCGCCUAUAAAAUGCCGUCCCACCCCCCACCUUCCUAGCAGCUGCUCUCCACCAAGAGCUGCUGGCACCACCAAACCAAUCGCUGGAUUUGUCCAGAGUAUUUCCGGUUUCACCGCCCUAGAUCUGACCCGAGACGCCGCGUCUUCGCUGAGAUGGCGAUUACUGUGAGGCGGUCGACGAUGGUGCGCCCGGCGCGGGAGACGCCGCGGCAGCGGCUGUGGAACUCCAACCUCGACCUCGUGGUGCCGCGCUUCCACACGCCCAGUGUCUACUUCUACCGCCGCGACGGCCCCGUGCCGGAUGCGGAGGGGUUCUUCGACGGCGAGCGGAUGCGGCGCGCGCUGGCAGAGGCGCUCGUGCCGUUCUAUCCAAUGGCGGGCCGCCUCGCGCGGGACGAGGACGGUAGGGUCGAGAUCGACUGCAAUGGCGAGGGAGUGCUCUUCGUCGAGGCCGACGCGCCCGAUGCCUCUGUCGAUGACUACGGUGACUUCGCGCCCACCAUGGAGCUCAAGCGCCUCAUCCCGACCGUCGAUUACACCGACGACAUCUCGGCCUUCUCGCUACUCGUGCUCCAGGUGACUUAUUUCAAAUGUGGAGGCGUCUCCCUUGGUGUUGGCAUGCAACACCAUGCAGCGGAUGGCAUGUCUGGCUUGCACUUCAUUAACUCAUGGUCUGACCUCUGCCGUGGAGCUCAAAUUUCUGUCAUGCCCUUCAUUGACCGCACCCUUCUUCGUGCUCGUGAUCCACCAACUCCAUCUUUUCAACAUAUCGAGUACCAGUCUGCCCCAGCUAUGUUGUCCUCCACAACCCAGUUCCUUGCUUCCAAGUCAAAGCCACCUGCCACUGCUGUGGACAUUUUCAAGCUCACUCGCUCAGACCUUGGCCGGCUGCGCUCACAGCUUCCUGCAGGGGAAGGUGCACCCCGGUUCAGCACAUAUGCAGUGCUAGCGGCACAUGUCUGGAAAUGUGUCUCCCUUGCACGCAGCCUACCUCCUGAACAACCCACCAAGUUGUAUUGCGCCACUGAUGGCCGACAACGGCUACAGCCUCCACUACCAGAUGGGUACUUUGGCAAUGUCAUCUUCACCGCGACACCACUUGCUGAGGCGGGCAAGGUGACCAGUGAGCUGGCAGAAGGAGCAGCAGUCAUCCAGGGAGCACUGGAUAGGAUGGACAACGACUACUGCCGCUCAGCGUUAGACUACCUGGAGCUUCAACCGGAUCUGUCAGCACUUGUGCGUGGAGCGCAUACCUUCCGCUGCCCGAACCUAGGGCUCACCAGCUGGGUGCGCCUUCCUAUCCAUGAUGCUGACUUCGGAUGGGGCCGGCCUGUGUUCAUGGGGCCAGGUGGCAUUGCGUAUGAAGGUCUGGCGUUUGUCCUCCCAAGUGCAAAUGGCGACGGCAGCCUGUCCAUUGCUAUCUCGUUGCAGGCUGAGCACAUGGAGAAGUUCCGGAAGCUAAUCGGCGAAGCUUAAACGGUGCCAACUGUUGAAGGAGGAUGUUAUUGGGCGAGAAGGAUUAUGCUCUGCCCAAAUUCUCAGAUAAAAUACUGAAGUUUCAAGUGAACCCAGUGGCUGCACUUUCACUUUGAAGACUUGCAGAGGAAAUUCAUGGUCACUUCAUUUUGUGAGAUUAAUUAUAGAGAAAGGGUAGAAAUUAUAUGAAGAAACAUAGUAAAAAAUCAUUGUUAGGAACAAACUCCAAUAGCAGGCUCUACUUGUACGUCGCAGACAUAAGCUGAGACUGAGCUGCGAUUGCAACAGAUUAUACUCUUCUAUCAGGUUGACUGAAGUUCCCUCAGUGGCCAAUCUUGGAUCUUUCUGCAGGCUGAUGAGAUGCAACUGAGCACACAGCCUGAGGUUGUGGCGGUGUGGCCUGAUCUGGCUUGCCAUUGUCGGACAUCGUCAUCGGCGCCGGGGACACCGAGCAGUUCGUCGAGGCACUAGUUUUUCAACACUGCUGGGUGGUGAGCAGUUCUAUUACGCCAUGACGCCACCUUGCACAAACUUUACGUUGCGAUUACCUCUGCAUAGCGGCGGUCCUAACAUUCUAAGGGCCCGGGACAAGGUUUCAAAUAGAGGCCUUUCAAAUUAUUUUUAAUGUAUAAAUGUUACUAAUUAAACACUCAAAAUACAUCUAAAAAUAUUU